rnacentral:rRNA from 1 species
UACGUAGGGGGCAAGCGUUGUCCGGAUUUAUUGGGCGUAAAGAGCGUGUAGGCGGCCAGGUAGGUCUGGUGUGAAAACUCGAGGCUUAACCUCGAGAUGUCAUCGGAAACCAUCUGGCUAGAGUUCGGAAGAGGAGAGUGGAAUUCCUGGUGUAGCGGUGAAAUGCGCAGAUAUCAGGAAGAACACCAAUGGCGAAAGCAGCUCUCUGGGACGGUACUGACGCUGAGACGCGAAAAGCGUGGGGGAGCGAAACAGG